rnacentral:misc_RNA from 1 species
GAUGAAGAACGCAGCGAAAAGCGAUAAGUAGUGUGAAUUGCAGAAUUCAGUGAAUCAUCGAAUCUUUGAACGCACAUUGCGCCCCUUGGUAUCCCGAGGGGCAUGCCUGUUCGAGCGUCAUUUCACCACUCAAGCCUGGCUUGGUGUUGGGCGACGUCCUCUUUGGGGACGCGCCUCGAAACGCUCGGCGGCGUGGCACCGGCUUUAAGCGUAGCAGAAUCUUUCGCUUUGGAAGUCGGGGCCCCGUCUGCCGGAAGACCUGCUCGCAAGGUUGACCUCGGAUCAGGCAGGGAUACCCGCUGAACUUAAGCAUAUCAAUAAGCGGAGGA